rnacentral:rRNA from 1 species
UACAGAGGUCUCAAGCGUUGUUCGGAAUCACUGGGCGUAAAGGGCGUGUAGGCGGUCCGCUAAGUCUGAUGUGAAAGCCCGGGGCUCACCCCCGGAAGUGCAUUGGAAACUGGCGGACUCGAGUCCCGGAGAGGAGAGUGGAAUUCCUGGUGUAGCGGUGAAAUGCGUAGAUAUCAGGAGGAACACCGGUGGCGAAGGCGGCUCUCUGGACGGUGACUGACGCUGAGACGCGAAAGCGUGGGGAGCAAACAGG